GGUCCUACGGGGCGCAGCAGUGAGGAAUAUUGGUCAAUGGGCGAGAGCCUGAACCAGCCAAGUCGCGUGAGGGAGUACUGCCCUAUGGGUUGUAAACCUCUUUUGUCGGGGAGCAAAAGCCGGACGUGUCCGGCUGUGAGAGUACCCGAAGAAAAAGCAUCGGCUAACUCCGUGCCGGCAGCCGCGGUAAUACGGAGGAUGCGAGCGUUAUCCGGAUUUCUUGGGUUUAAAGGGUGCGCAGGCGGCUUUUUAAGUCAGCGGUCAAAUCGUGGAGCUCAACCCCAUCCCGCCGGUGUAACUGUGGG
rnacentral:rRNA from 1 species